rnacentral:miRNA from 10 species
GCUUAUGUUAUAAACGUCUUCC